rnacentral:rRNA from 1 species
CCUACGGGAGGCAGCAGUGAGGAAUAUUGGUCAAUGGACGCAAGUCUGAACCAGCCAAGCCGCGUGCAGGAAGACGGCUCUAUGAGUUGUAAACUGCUUUUGUACGAGGGUAAACGCAGAUACGUGUAUCUGUCUGAAAGUAUCGUACGAAUAAGGAUCGGCUAACUCCGUGCCAGCAGCCGCGGUAAUACGGAGGAUUCAAGCGUUAUCCGGAUUUAUUGGGUUUAAAGGGUGCGUAGGCGGUCGGAUAAGUUAGCGGGUAAAUCCCGAGGCUCAACUUCGGAAUUGCCUCUGAUACUGUUCUUCUAGAGAGUAGUUGCGGUAGGCGGAAUGUAUGGUGUAGCGGUGAAAUGCUUAGAGAUCAUACAGAACACCGAUUGCGAAGGCAGUUUACCAGGCUACUUCUGACGUUGAGGCACGAAAGCGUGGGUAGCAAACAGGAUUAGAUACCCCUGUAGUC